CCUACUUAUACAUGAUCUAAAUCAAGUACGUUCAACGACUUAUCACACAUUAAAAUAUUUACAGCUUUAACUUUCGAUCUGUAUAAAAAACAACUCCUAGAAAUAAAUUCCGAGUACGAAGAUCCCUUCACGAGCCAUCCUCAUAUCACCGCUUGUCCAGCAUCAUCGAAUUCAGAAGAAGAAAAAAUGUUUAAUCAGUAUGCCUCCAUUACCAGAAACAGCCUAUUCCUUAAACAAGUUUACAGUGAGGGAGAAUUAACCAGAAACAUAAAACUGAACGUUUGUGAUCAGCCACCAAAACCUCAAUUAGUUUACAAUGAUUCGACAGAUGUUUUUCAGUUCGGUUAUGAGUUAUUUUAUCAAAAGGAUGAGAUAACACUAGAAUGCGACUACUAUGACAAACUCGGGCCAGUUAGAAACGUAGGUAUACAGGUUUUACAAGAGGAACCACUGAAAAAUCCAAAUCCCAACAAAAAGUAUAUAAUAUCAGAAAACGAUGAAAAUAAUACAUUUUUCAAAAUCAAAGCUAAAGAAUGGAGAAAACCAAUGGUA